UACGGAGGGUGCAGGCGUUAUCCGGAUUCACUGGGUUUAAAGGGAGCGCAGGCGGAUUUGUAAGUCAGUGGUGAAAGGCUUAAGCUUAACUUGGGAACUGCCAUUGAUACUAUAAGUCUUGAAUGUUGUUGAGGUUUGCGGAAUGGGUCAUGUAGCGGUGAAAUGCAUAGAUAUGACCCGGAACACCUAUUGCGAAGGCAGCAGGCUAAACAAAUAUUGACGCUGAGGCUCGAAAGCGUGGGGAUCAAACAGG
rnacentral:rRNA from 1 species